UACGUAGGGUGCAAGCGUUAAUCGGAAUUACUGGGCGUAAAGCGUGCGCAGGCGGUUAUGUAAGUCAGAUGUGAAAUCCCCGGGCUUAACCUGGGAACUGCAUUUGUGACUGCAUGGCUGGAGUGCGGCAGAGGGGGAUGGAAUUCCGCGUGUAGCAGUGAAAUGCGUAGAUAUGCGGAGGAACACCGAUGGCGAAGGCAAUCCCCUGGGCCUGCACUGACGCUCAUGCACGAAAGCGUGGGGAGCAAACAGG
rnacentral:rRNA from 1 species